rnacentral:rRNA from 1 species
GACGUAGGGCGCGAGCGUUGUCCGGAUUUAUUGGGCGUAAAGAGCUCGUAGGCGGCUUGUCACGUCGGUUGUGAAAGCCCGGGGCUUAACCCCGGGUCUGCAGUCGAUACGGGCAGGCUAGAGUUCGGUAGGGGGAGAUCGGAAUUCCUGGUGUAGCGGUGAAAUGCGCAGAUAUCAGGAGGAACACCGGUGCGAAGGCGGAUCUCUGGGCCGAUACUGACGCUGAGGAGCGAAAGCAUGGGGAGCGAACAGG